rnacentral:lncRNA from 1 species
AUUUGGAUUGUCAUUGACUACCAAAGACUUUAUCAUUGGUGAUGUAAGAUUGGUUGAACCUUAUCAUUAAUUACCAAAAGAAUUAGUCCCGUUGAUUAACGAAAAGAUCGAUAAAAUUAAGAUUUUUCCACCAAAUGUGUACUUGAACGUUUUAAAUUACUUUUGCGUAUAUCAUCUAGGUGAUAACAGGGGUAAAAUGAUCGCCUUACAAGAC